rnacentral:rRNA from 1 species
GAGUUUGAUCCUGGCUCAGAUUGAACGCUGGCGGCAUGCUUAACAGAUGCAAGUCGAACGGCAGCGCGGGAAAGCUUGCUUUCCUGGCGGCGAGUGGCGGACGGGUGAGUAACGCGUAGGAACCUACCCAGUAGUGGGGGACAACCCGAGGAAACUCGGGCUAAUACCGCAUACCCUCUACGGAGGAAAGCAGGGGAUCUUUUUCGGGACUUCGCGCUAUUGGAUGAGCCUAAGUCGGAUUAGCUUGUUGGUGGGGUAAUGGCCUACCAAGGCGACGAUCGGUAGCUGGUCUGAGAGGACGAUCAGCCACACUGGGACUGAGACACGGCCCAGACUCCUACGGGAGGCAGCAGUGGGGAAUAUUGGACAAUGGGGGCAACCCUGAUCCAGCAAUGCCGCGUGUGUGAAGAAGGCCUAAGGGUUGUAAAGCACUUUCAGUGGGGAGGAGAAGCCUAGUGUUAAUAGCACUAAGCUGAGACGUUACCCACAGAAGAAGCACCGGCUAACUCUGUGCCAGCAGCCGCGGUAAUACAGAGGGUGCGAGCGUUAAUCGGAAUUACUGGGCGUAAAGCGCACGUAGGUGGAUUGGUAAGUUGGAUGUGAAAUCCCUGGGCUCAACCUGGGCAUGCCAUACAAAACUGCUUGACUAGAGUACAGUAGAGGGAAGUGGAAUUUCAGGUGUAGCGGUUAAAUGCGUAGAUAUCUGAAGGAACACCAGUGGCGAAGGCGGCUUCCUGGACUGAUACUGACACUGAGACGCGAAAGCGUGGGUAGCGAACAGGAUUAGAUACCCUGGUAGUCCACGCCGUAAACGAUGAGAACUAGCUGUUGGGGACUUCGGUCUUUAGUGGCGCAGUUAACGCGAUAAGUUGACCGCCUGGGGAGUACGGUCGCAAGAUUAAAACUCAAAUGAAUUGACGGGGGCCCGCACAAGCGGUGGAGCAUGUGGUUUAAUUCGAUGCAACGCGAAGAACCUUACCAGGCCUUGACAUCCAGAGAAUCCCAUAGAGCUAUGGGAGUGCCUUCGGGAACUCUGUGACAGGUGCUGCAUGGCUGUCGUCAGCUCGUGUCGUGAGAUGUUGGGUUAAGUCCCGUAACGAGCGCAACCCUUAUCCCUAGUUGCCAGCGAUUCUGUCGGGGACUCUAGAGAGACUGCCGGUGAUAAACCGGAGGAAGGCGGGGACGACGUCAAGUCAUCAUGGCCCUUAUGGGUAGGGCUACACACGUGCUACAAUGGAGCGUACAGAGGGUUGCGAAGCCGCGAGGUGGAGCCAAUCCCAGAAAACGCUUCGUAGUCCGGAUUGGAGUCUGCAACUCGACUCCAUGAAGUUGGAAUCGCUAGUAAUCGCAGAUCAGCACGCUGCGGUGAAUACGUUCCCGGGCCUUGUACACACCGCCCGUCACACCAUGGGAGUGGGCUGCACCAGAAGUAGGUUGCUUAACCUUAGGGAGGGCGCUUACCACGGUGUGGUUCAUGACUGGGGUGAAGUCGUAACAAGGUAACC